UACGUAGGGUGCGAGCGUUAAUCGGAAUUACUGGGCGUAAAGCGUGCGCAGGCGGCGCGUUAAGACAGGUGUGAAAGCCCCGAGCUUAACUUGGGAAUUGCGCUUGUGACUGGCGUGCUGGAGUGUGGCAGAGGGAGGUGGAAUUCCACGUGUAGCAGUGAAAUGCGUAGAGAUGUGGAGGAACACCGAUGGCGAAAGGCAGCCUCCUGGGCCAGCACUGACGCUCAUGCACGAAAGCGUGGGGAGCAAACAGG
rnacentral:rRNA from 1 species